AUGCCCGCACCCGAUGGUUGCGACCGCCGCCACGGCGGCGUCCAAGGCCGCUCCUUCCUCCCCAUCCACCUUCCCCCACACGCCCCAACCCCGGAGCCCGGCAGCCCCUCCUCCCCGCCCCGACCCAUCCCGCCGCUCUCCUUCCGCCACCUCUCACCCUGCGCGCGCUGGUCCGCCUGGGUCAUCGCGGCCCUCUCCGACCCCGGGUUCGCUCCCGUCCUCCGCUCCACCGCCAUCUCCGACGCCGUCGCCGCCUCCACGGCCGCCGUCAUCCCCGACCGCCACGCCCUGUCCGCGCUCCUCUCCUUCUGGCAUCCGGACUCCCACACCUUCCGCCUCCCCGCCGGGCCCGCCACCUUCUCGCUCGAGGACGCGCUCCUCCUCGCCGGCCUGCCCCCCUCCGGCGCUCCCUUGGACCGGCCCCUCACUCCGACCGAGGAGGACCUCCGCAUCCGCCUGGUGGUGGAGAAGGAGAAGAUCAGGGAGCUCCACCCGUGCGCCCGCAAAGCCCGGCGGGUGUCAGCGGAGCUGUGGCUCGAGUGGUUCGACAGCAGAAUCCGGCCCGGCGAGGACGACGAGCUGCGCCACCUCGGGUUCCUCGCCUACUGGCUCGCCUUCUUUGUUACCCCACGCCUACGGCGCAAGGGCUGGGAGCUACCAGAGUGUCUCUUUGCACUCGCCGCCCGGCUUUAUCUUGGCGAGCGCAUUGCCCUGGGGCCGGCUGUGGUGGCUAAUCUCUAUGCUGAGAUGGACAUGAUUGUUACUUCCGGGGUGGCGGCCGUGGCGAGUGGCCGUGUCGACGUUUGGGCGCCGCUCUGGCUGCUGCAGGCGUGGAUAUGGGAGCGCUACGACCGCCUGCGGCCGCCGGAGCUGAGAGCACCAGAGUUCCCUGUCUCGAAUGUCCGCGUACUCUUUUGGGCUCGGAGGAGGAGGAAGACCACAGAUGAGGAGUCUUUACGGGUUUUGCAGGAAGAGGAUUGCUUCGAGUGGAGGCCUUACCUGCACAACUCUCUCAACUGGACUGAACCCCAGUGGUUCAGCAAGGAAACCGUCUUGGUGAGCUCUAGAGGUAAGGAUAAGCCCGAGUGGUUGGAGGAUUACCUUGCAAUUAUAAGGCAAGCGGCGUUGACUGGAUUGUGCGGUGAUGGCAUGUAUAACUCGGCAAUGUACAAUCCCCACAUUGUUGCAAGGCAGCUCGGUUAUGAUCAGGAUGUUCCUUUUCCUAUUGUCCAUGGGUUCGACUCCAAGGGAAUCGAGGUGUGGAUACCUGGUAUCUGUAGACGCGGGAAGGCCAGCAAGGAAUAUGUUGCAUGGUUGAAUGGGCACUUUGUGGGGCACCAGGAUGCUGACCAAUAUGGUAGGUCGGAAAUAGCAUACCAGGAAAACAGUGAUAACUCAUCUCCACCGAAUGAGCCUAACAGAAAUGUUGUAGAUACGGCAGGUGAUAAAUGUAGAGAAAGUACCAUGCCAGAUAGCAGAAAAUGCACCAUAGAAGAUCUGCUAGCUCAGGAGAACGAAACGGAGGUGGUUGUCCUAGACCUUAGUUCAAGUGAUACAGACUGCAGUGCAACUGCGGUGAAAGGAAAGAUUGAGAAGAAGAAAAGGCUAGAUAAACUCUCUGGAAAUGGUGAUAGGAAUAAGAGAAACAAGGUGUUUGGUGGCCAUGAAGGUCUCCAGGCAUGUGAUGACGGGCUUGAAGGCCGGAAGUACUGUGGUCUCCAAAAAGAUCCAAAUUCUGACAUUAGUAAACGUGAUACACAGCUUGAGAGUGAUGAUGAAUGUGUUGUUCUUGAAUCGCAUGGUGAGAAAUGUGAAGUAAUAAACCUCGAUGAUGAUCAGGAAGAGAGUAUCCUUGAUCCUGAAGAUCAUGAUAGGCAACUUGUCCUGGAGCUAGAAGAGUUUGUGCGCUCUGGGCUUUUCUCACAAUGGGAGGAAAGCUCUGAUGAAGAUGAAGAAGGUGGAAGAAAGCAAGAAUCACUGAAGAAUAGCAACAAUGACCCUUAUGCUGAAGCAGCCAUGAGAGAGUACCCUGUGUUCUUUGAGCUCAUUCCCCAGAGACCACAUUACAGAGAGUUGGUGAACAACGAUGACGCUCUACGAGAUCUGGCCUGCAGUGGAAUGUGGUUAUUAUUGGUUGGCUUGGCAAGGGAGGUGCUCAAGACAUCAUGUGACACUGAGGCUCUGGAAGUUGCAUAUUUGAUGAAAAAAGCUCGGGAAUUGGAACAAAACGGGUUCAAUGUGAAGCACUUGAUUGCCCGUCUGAAGGAGCCACAGACCCGACUUAGAAGGCUUCAGGAUUCCAGGGCAAGGCUUGAGUAUGCCCGGACUAAAGCACAAGAAUCGGAAGGUGUUAAGUCACUUUCAAACCAUUUAAGUAAGCUGAAACACAAUAUACUAACAAUGGAGAGGCAUUUGGAUGGAAAUAAGCAAGCUCGUAGUGCAUCUGUGCACAAUGAAUUGGGUGAAGGAAUCAAUCUAGUCAGCUUGGAGAAGGAAGUAGAAGCUGCAGAAAAGUACUGUCAGGCAAUGAAGGAUGAAGUGGCUGCAAUGAGACUGAGAUACACAGAUAUUUAA
rnacentral:rRNA from 1 species